rnacentral:tRNA from 1 species
CCUUCGAUAGCUCAGUUGGUAGAGCGGUGGACUGUAGAGGCGCUUCUGUUGAAAUCCAUAGGUCGCUGGUUCAAAUCCGGCUCGAAGGA